GAUGAACGCUGGCGGCGUGCCUAAUACAUGCAAGUCGAGCGAACGGACGAGAAGCUUGCUUCUCUGAUGUUAGCGGCGGACGGGAGAGUAACACGUGGAUAACCUACCUAUAAGACUGGGAUAACUUCGGGAAACCGGAGCUAAUACCGGAUAAUAUUUUGAACCGCAUGGUUCAAAAGUGAAAGACGGUCUUGCUGUCACUUAUAGAUGGAUCCGCGCUGCAUUAUCUAUUUGGUAAGGUAACGGCUUACCAAGGCAACGAUGCUUAGCCGACCUGAGAGGGUGAUUGGCCACACUGGAACUGAGAAUCGGUCCAGACUCCGACGGGAGGAAGCAGUAGGGAAUCUUACGCGAGGGGGGAAAGCCUGACGGAGCAAAGUCGCGUGAGUGAUGAAGGUCUUCGGACCGGAAAACGCUGUUAUUAGGGAAGAACAUAUGUGCAAGUAACUGUGCACAUCAUGACGGUACCCAAUCAGAAAGCCACGGCUAACUACGUG
rnacentral:rRNA from 1 species